ACUCCUACGGGAGGCAGCAGUGGGGAAUAUUGCACAAUGGGCGCAAGCCUGAUGCAGCCAUGCCGCGUGUGUGAAGAAAGGCCUUCGGGUUGUAAAGCACUUUCAGUCGUGAGGAAGGUAGUGUAGUUUAAUAGCGCAUUAUUUGACGUUAGCGACAGAAGAAGCACCGGGCUAACUCCGUGCCAGCAGCCGCGGUAAUACGGAGGGUGCGAGCGUUAAUCGGAAUUACUGGGCGUAAAGCGCAUGCAGGUGGUUUGUUAAGUCAGAUGUGAAAGCCCGGGGCUCAACCUCGGAAUUGCAUUUGAAACUGGCGACUAGAGUACUGUAGAGGGGGGUAGAAUUUCAGGUGUAGCGGUGAAAUGCGUAGAGAUCUGAAGGAAUACCGGUGGCGAAGGCGGCCCCCUGGACAGAUACUGACACUCAGAUGCGAAAGCGUGGGGAGCAAACAGGAUUAGAUACCCUGGUAGCUACGAGU
rnacentral:rRNA from 1 species